rnacentral:lncRNA from 1 species
GCUGGGCACCAUGGUCACAGGCCUGGCAUCCCUGCUGCUCCUCGCUGGGGCCCAGUAUCUGCCAGGCUGGACUGUGCUGUUCCUCUCUGUCCUGGGGCUCCUGGCCUCCCGGGCUGUGUCCGCACUCAGCAGCCUCUUCGCGGCCGAGGUCUUCCCCACGGUGAUCAGGUGAGCUUCAGGGUUGCCCGGCCACACAGCAGGGUCCAGGGCCUCUCAUGGGGAGGAGGGGCCAGGUGGACAGGAGGCCCUGUCCCCAUACCCCACCCAGGUUCCUGCCUGUGAUUCCUCCAUCCAGUAAGGACUCGGGGUAAAGCACUGCCCUGCUCCUGGAUGGUGGGGGCCACUGCUCACAGAAGGCUCUGGGCAGACGGCUCAGGAACUGGGAAGGGGAGGGAAGGCCACGCAGGCCUGAAGCCAGGAGUGCGGGGUGGGGGCAGAGAUGAGGAGGCCUCCAGAAAUGGCAGAAUUCUCGGGGAAAGCAUCACUUUUCGAUCUUCUUCUUCUUCUUUUUUUUUUUUUUUGAGAUGGAGUCUCGCUCUGUCACCAGGCUGGAGUGCAGUGGUGUGAUCUCAGCUCACUGCAGCCUCCAACUCUCUGGUUCAAGCGAUUCUCCUGCCUCAGCCUCCUGAGUAGCUGGGAUUACAGGCACCCACCACCACGCACAACUAAUUUUUGUAUUUUUAGUAAAGACAGGGUUUCACCAUGAUAGCCAGGAUGGUCUCGAUCUCCUGACCUCAUGAUCCGCCUGCCUUGGCCUCCCAAAGUGCUGGGAUUACAGGCAUGAGCCACUGUGCCCGGCCACUUUCCAGUCUUGAACAGAGCAAAAAGUGCUCCAGGAGAGGAAGGAGGUUUUUCCAAAACAAUUUUUCAAAUUAUCCUCAGCCAGCAAACCUUAGGCUGUGCGGAGGCCGGGCCUUCCCCCUGCUCACUCUGGAGUCACAUGUGUGUCCCCCAAUCUGUUGCCCCACCAGCUGCCCCCAACGCACUCUCUCCCACAGAGGGGCCGGCCUGGGCCUGGUGCUGGGGGCCGGGUUCCUGGGCCAGGAGGCUGGCUGCCCCCAACACACUCUGUCCCACAGGGGGGCCGGGCUGGGCCUGGUGCUGGGGGCCGGGUUCCUGGGCCAGGCAGCCGGCCCCCUGGACACCCUGCACGGCCGGCAGGGCUUCUUCCUGCAACAAGUCGUCUUCGCCUCCCUUGCUGUCCUUGCCCUGCUGUGUGUCCUGCUGCUGCCUGAGAGCCGAAGCCGGGGGCUGCCCCAGUCACUGCAGGACGCCGACCGCCUGCGCCGCUCCCCACUCCUGCGGGGCCGCCCCCGCCAGGACCACCUGCCUCUGCUGCCGCCCUCCAACUCCUACUGGGCCGGCCACACCCCCGAGCAGCACUAGUCCUGCCUGGUGGCCCUGGGAGCCAGGAUGGGACCAAAGUCAAGGCCUGGGGCAUGGCUGAGUACCCCAGACGUCUGGUCCAGGGCAGACACAUUCCUCUCAGAAGCCCGUGUCUCAGUGCAGGUGGAGCCGUGGGGACAGCGUGAAGGUGUCUCCAGCCAGGCCCCAGGCACUGGGAGGCCCUGGGUCUCCCCCCAGCCACACCCAGUAGGUGUGGAGGAUAAAGGCUUCUGUGGAA